rnacentral:misc_RNA from 1 species
UCUCGAUAUAUGCACAGGAGAG